UUCCCUGACAGUCCAGUGGUUAGGACUUGGCACCUUCACUGCCAUGACCUAGGUUCCAUUCCUGGCUGGGAAA
rnacentral:tRNA from 1 species